AACGAACGCUGGCGGCAUGCCUAACACAUGCAAGUCGAACGAGACCUUCGGGUCUAGUUGCGCACGGGUGCGUAACGCGUGGGAAUCUGCCCUUGGGUUCGGAAUAACAGUUGGAAACGACUGCUAAUACCGGAUGAUGUCGUAAGUCCAAAGAUUUAUCGCCCAAGGAUGAGCCCGCGUAGGAUUAGCCAGUUGGUGAGGUAAAGGCUGACCAAGGCGACGAUCCUUAGCUGGUGUGAGAGGAUGAUCAGUCACACUGGGACUGAGGCACGGCCCACACUCCGACGGGAGGCAGCAGAGUGGAAUAUUGUACGAUGGGCGAAAGCGCGACCCAGCAGUGCCGGGGGAGAGAGGAAGGGCGUUGGGUUGUACAGCUGUUUUACACGAGAUGAUAAUGACGGUACCGGGAGAAUAAGCACCGGCUAACUCCGUG
rnacentral:rRNA from 1 species